UGGGGAAUAUUGCGCAAUGGGGGGAACCCUGACGCAGCCAUGCCGCGUGAAUGAAGAAGGCCUUAGGGUUGUAAAGUUCUUUCGGUAUUGAGGAAGGUUGAUGUGUUAAUAGCACAUCAAAUUGACGUUAAAUACAGAAGAAGCACCGGCUAACUCCGUGCCAGCAGCCGCGGUAAUACGGAGGGUGCGAGCGUUAAUCGGAAUAACUGGGCGUAAAGGGCACGCAGGCGGUUAUUUAAGUGAGGUGUGAAAGCCCUGGGCUUAACCUAGGAAUUGCAUUUCAGACUGGGUAACUAGAGUACUUUAGGGAGGGGUAGAAUUCCACGUGUAGCGGUGAAAUGCGUAGAGAUGUGGAGGAAUACCGAAGGCGAAGGCAGCCCCUUGGGAAUGUACUGACGCUCAUGUGCGAAAGCGUGGGGAGCAAACAGGAUUAGAUACCCUGGUAGUCCACGCUGUAAACGCUGUCGAUUUGGGGGUUGGGGUUUAACUCUGGCGCCCGUAGCUAACGUGAUAAAUCGACCGCCUGGGGAGUACGGCCACAAGGUUA
rnacentral:rRNA from 1 species